CCUACGGGAGGCAGCAGUGGGGAAUAUUGGACAAUGGGGGGAACCCUGAUCCAGCCAUGCCGCGUGUGUGAAGAAGGCCCUCGGGUUGUAAAGCACUUUCAGUGAGGAAGAACGCCUGGUGGUUAAUACCCAUCAGGAAAGACAUCACUCACAGAAGAAGCACCGGCUAACUCCGUGCCAGCAGCCGCGGUAAUACGGAGGGUGCGAGCGUUAAUCGGAAUUACUGGGCGUAAAGCGCGCGUAGGUGGCUUGAUAAGCCGGUUGUGAAAGCCCCGGGCUCAACCUGGGAACGACAUCCGGAACUGUCAAGCUAGAGUGCAGGAGAGGAAGGUAGAAUUCCCGGUGUAGCGGUGAAAUGCGUAGAGAUCGGGAGGAAUACCAGUGGCGAAGGCGGCCUUCUGGACUGACACUGACACUGAGGUGCGAAAGCGUGGGUAGCAAACAGGAUUAGAUACCCUAGUAGUC
rnacentral:rRNA from 1 species